AUUGAACGCUGGCGGCAGGCCUAACACAUGCAAUUCGAACGAGUGGCGGACGGGUGAGUAAUGUCUGGGAAACUGCCUGAUGGAGGGGGAUAACUACUGGAAACGGUAGCUAAUACCGCAUACUAUCGGAUGUGCCCAUAUGGGAUUAGCUAGUAGGUGGGGUAACGGCUCACCACGGCGACGAUCCUUAGCUGGUCUGAGAGGAUGACCAGCCACACUGGGACUGAGACACGGUCAAGACUCCUACGGGAGGCAGCAGUGGGGAAUUUUGGACAAUGGGCGCAAGCCUGAUGCAGCCAUGCCGCGGGUAUGAAGAAGGCCUUCGGGUUGUAAAGUACUUUCAGCAGGGAGGCGGUACCCGCAGAAGAAGCACCGGCUAACUACGUGCCAGCAGCCGCGGUAAUAC
rnacentral:rRNA from 1 species